CCUACGGGAGGCAGCAGUAGGGAAUUUUCCGCAAUGGGCGAAAGCCUGACGGAGCAAUACCGCGUGAGGGAUGACUGCCUAUGGGUUGUAAACCUCUUUUUUCAGGGAGGAAUAAAUGACGUGUACCUGAAGAAUAAGCAUCGGCUAACUCCGUGCCAGCAGCCGCGGUAAGACGGAGGAUGCAAGUGUUAUCCGGAAUCACUGGGCGUAAAGCGUCUGUAGGUGGCUCAACAAGUCAACUGUUAAAUCUUGAAGCUCAACUUCAAAAUCGCAGUCGAAACUAUUGAACUAGAGUAUAGUAGAGGUAAAGGGAAUUUCCAGUGGAGCGGUGAAAUGCGUAGAGAUUGGAAAGAACACCAAUGGCGAAGGCACUUUACUGGGCUAUUACUGACACUCAGAGACGAAAGCUAGGGUAGCAAAUGGGAUUAGAUACCCCAGUAGUCCUAGCCGUAAACAAUGGAUACUAGGUGUUGAACAGAUCGACCUGUGNAUACUAAGACUACGACGUAGUAUCCGUCCGUCGGUAGUAUGCACGCGAGUAGUAGUAACGUUAAAGGUAAAGUUAGUACGGACGUGAGACGUGCCGAACGGACGACGACGAGGGAGGUAGG
rnacentral:rRNA from 1 species